UUACUGCUUCUGGCCAAGACUUGUUCUGACAUAUUGAACCGAUACAACACAGACUAGAAGAUUUGGCCACAGAUGUUCUGACUUCCAUGACCUUGAGAACUUGACCAUGACCAGCCAGCCUUCACAACUGGCAUCUCAUCACCACAUGGAGAGAGGUCUUCACCGUCCACUGCUUCACCCGUCCAGCAGCUGCUGAUCAGCUCGCUUGAUUCUAUCAGCAGGCCAGAGGCCAGGCUGGAUGGAGGCCC